rnacentral:lncRNA from 1 species
UGAAAUGUUAUGACAAGAUAUCUGUAUGGCUCCAUAAGGUUAUAGUGAAACCGAAGUGAUAAGAAAAACUGUAUGAAACUGGAGGAAUACUGUAUGCUUGGCUGCUAUGGCCUGUAUAAUCAUAUCCACUCAACGGCCUGUAGCCGGAGUACCAAACUGUAUGGGGCGCAGAUCUGCUAUCCUAUGUCGCGACAUAGCCUUAUCUACAUGGUUUCUACCUAACCUCAAUGGAGCAUAAUGUUGGUAUGUCAAUAAUAUAACACAACA